GCAGUGGGGAAUUUUGGACAAUGGGCGAAAGCCUGAUCCAGCAAUGCCGCGUGCAGGAUGAAGGCCUUCGGGUUGUAAACUGCUUUUGUACGGAACGAAAAGGCUCUGGUUAAUACCUGGGGCUCAUGACGGUACCGUAAGAAUAAGCACCGGCUAACUACGUGCCAGCAGCCGCGGUAAUACGUAGGGUGCGAGCGUUAAUCGGAAUUACUGGGCGUAAAGCGUGCGCAGGCGGUGAUGUAAGACAGUUGUGAAAUCCCCGGGCUCAACCUGGGAACUGCAUCUGUGACUGCAUCGCUGGAGUGCGGCAGAGGGGGAUGGAAUUCCGCGUGUAGCAGUGAAAUGCGUAGAUAUGCGGAGGAACACCGAUGGCGAAGGCAAUCCCCUGGGCCUGCACUGACGCUCAUGCACGAAAGCGUGGGGAGCAAACAGGAUUAGA
rnacentral:rRNA from 1 species